rnacentral:rRNA from 1 species
GUAGGUGGCAAGCGUUGUCCGGAAUUAUUGGGCGUAAAGCGCGCGCAGGCGGUUUCUUAAGUCUGAUGUGAAAGCCCACGGCUCAACCGUGGAGGGUCAUUGGAAACUGGGGAACUUGAGUGCAGAAGAGGAAAGUGGAAUUCCACGUGUAGCGGUGAAAUGCGUAGAGAUGUGGAGGAACACCAGUGGCGAAGGCGACUUUCUGGUCUGUAACUGACGCUGAGGCGCGAAAGCGUGGGGAGCAAACAGGAUUAGAUACCCUGGUAGUCCACGCCGUAAACGAUGAGUGCUAAGUGUUAGAGGGUUUCCGCCCUUUAGUGCUGCAGCUAACGCAUUAAGCACUCCGCCUGGGAGUACGGUCGCAAGACUG